rnacentral:rRNA from 1 species
AAAAGGUGACAUGAUUUGAAAAAGUUAUAAAUGAUAUUAAUAUUAAUAUAUGGAUACUCAUAAAUUAUAUAUACAAGGUAUAUAUGAUCCCUUAUCAAAGAUAAGGCAUUAUAUAUAUAUAAAUAUAUAUAAGACUUAUGUUAUAGAAAGGAUAAAUUAGUUUGGCAAAAGCCGAUCCUAGCUAGAAAUAGUAUAUAAAAAAGUAUGUGAAUUGAAACAUCUUAGUAACAUAUGUAAAAACCAAUAGGGUUAACAGUAGUAUCGGUGAGAGAAUCUGUUGUUGUAUACAAGUAAUACUUUGAAGUAUGAAUAUAGUAGUAUCUACUACUAAUACAUAAACUAUAACAUAAAGUUAAAAGUACUGUAAAGGAAAGAGUUUAAAUAUCAAUUUAUAUAUUAAAUAAGAUAUAUAUAAGAGAUAUAAUGAAAUAUAUUAAUAAAGAGCAACUAUAGUAUAGUGUACCUCUUGUAUAAUGGGUCAGUGAGUUAUUUUUAUAAGCGAAAUGAAUAUUAUAUAUAAUAAGAAAUAGUUUAUAGGAAUAGACCCGAAAGCACAUGAUCUAUAUAUGUAUAGAUAUAUAUUUAAACAAAUAUAUGAUCAAAUAGGUAGAUGUAGCAAUAUCUUCUAAAGAUAUGUGUAUAGUAGUGAAAGGCAAAACUGAUGUGCAGAUAGCUGGUUAUCUACGAAAUAUAUGUUAGUAUAGCCCUUAUAAUAGCGUACACCCUGGUAAAGCACUUAAUACCAUAUUGGAAUAAAUUUAUUUACUAUAUGUAUUAAACCUCUGAACAGGUGUGAUAUGACAUAUAAGGAGUCAGACUUAUUGCGAUAAGGUAAUAGGUCGAAUAGGGAAUAACCUAGACUAUUAAAUGAAGGUCCCAAAUCCUCAUUAAGUGAAUACAAUCCUAUGGGUAGAUAAAUACCCCUUUAUAUCCCCUUAAGGGAUUAUUUUGAUCAGACAAUUAGUCAGUGGGUUUGAUAAUAAUCACCUGUUAAAGAACAUGUAAAAAUGCACUAAUAGAAUUUAUAUCUUAAUAAGAUAUAUAUAUCAAAAGAUAGGAACAAAUAUACGGGUCUAAAUGUAGGAACCGAAUAAUAGAUAUAAUAUUUUUAUAUUAUAUAGUAGUAGAUUAUAUAGUGAUAAGAACUAUAAAGACAAUGCUGACUUGAGUAACGAUAGGUAAUUAAGGAUUACCCCUACAAAGCACAAGGUUUAACUAUAAAUUAACGGUAUCUAAGUAUAUAUAUGAAGAUAUAUAUAUGAUGAUUGAUAGUACAGGAAAAUGUAAUAACCGUACCGCAGUCCGACCCAGGUGUGUAAAUGAUUAUAAUAAUAAUCAUAAUAUUAUUUAUAAUAAUAAGAAUAAUAUUGAGUAGGAAUGGGUGAAGUAUCAUAAAUGAACUCGGCAAAUAAGGCAAGGCCUGAAUAGUACGACUGUUUACCAAAAACACAGCUUACUGCAAAUAGGAAACUAUCGGUAUAGUAAGUGAUAUCUGUCCGGUGUAAGUUAGAUAAAUAAAUAAUUGACUUAUAAACGACGGUCUUAUCAUGAGGAUCUGAAAGUAGCAAAAUUCAUUGGCAUAUAAUUGGUGUCCCGCAUGAAUGAUUAUACGAUACUAUAGCUGUAUCUAUGGUAUACCCAGUGAAAUAGUAAUCGCAGUGAAGAUACUGUGUAGUCAUAGAUUGACAAAAAGACCCUAUGCAGCUUUACUAUAUUCUUAUACUGUUAUAUCUAUAAAUAUUUAAAUUAAAUAUUUUAAUUCCUUAUAUAUUUCUUUUAAUUUAUAAGGGCUAUAUGUUUAUUUCUUUAUAUAUAUAACUAACCUUUUUAAGGUACCAUAUAAGAUGGUUAGUUUCGAUGGGGCGUCGGCAUCACAAAAUAUAACUGAUGUGUCUAAAUGAUAUUUUUAUAUUCCCUUAUAUUUUAUUACUUUUUAGUUUUAUUUUAUAAGGCUAUCAUCUUUUUAAGAUAAUAAUAGAAUAAAUAAGUACAGAUACACUAGUAGGCAACUAGUAUAAAUUAAUAUAAUAUUAUUUUAUAUAUAUAAUCCUUCAUUUUGAUGAAGGAUCAUAUAUGAUACAUAUAUAAUUAAUUUUAUUAAUAAGGAUAAUAACAUAACUGUGCUAUGAUAAUGACACAUACUUGUGGAAUUAGUACUUAAGUAUAGUAUAUUGAACAGGCAAUAUCAUUAGAAUUGAGUGUCGAUUACGGAUUAAAGUUACGCUAGGGAUAUUAAGUUGUCCCCGUAUAUCGUGAGAUAUACUUAAUUAAUAGGGUUAAUUACAAAGAUAUCUUAUUUUAAUAAGACAAUUUGUAGCGAAGUAUAUAUUAGUAUUUAUAAAUAUAUAAACGUUCAACGACUAAAAGAUGAGUUUACUAACAAUAAUUCUUUCAAGAAAGCCCUACACCUAAUUUAUAAUAAAUAAAAAUAACAAUAAUUAAAUAAAACAAUGAAAUACAUAUCUAAAUCAAAAGUCCGUAAUAUAGGACCAAAUAGUAAUUUAUUAAGAGCUUAUAAAGCUCAAUUUACUAAUUUAACUUCAUAUCAAUAUGAAGCUUUAAUAGGUCAUUUAUUAGGAGAUGCUAAUAUUUAUACACGUAAUAAUGGUAAAACUCAUGGAAUUAAAUUUGAAUGAGGUGAAAAAAGUAAAGAUUAUAUUUUUCAUGUAUAUGAUAUAUUUGGUGAUUUUAUAUUUUUUAUUUAUUUUAAUUUUAGGUGAUGACAUAGUCUAAUCUAUAUAGUGAUAUAUAGAUAUAUAUAUUAAAUAAUAUAUAUGAUAAUAAUUAAUGAACAGGGUAAUAUCGCUAGAGAGUUGAUAUCGUCAGCGAUGUUUGCCACCUCGAUUAGAUAUAGUCGAGUAUAAAUAGGGUGAAUUGCAAGAAAAUCUAAGUAUAAAUAUAUAAGAUAAUUUGCAGCGAAGUUAUGUUAUAAACAUAAAACGUUCAACGACUAGAAAGAAUUAUAUCUUUCCAAGAGAGCCCUAAAUUUACAGCUUAUUAAAAUUUAUAAUAUAUAUAAGUAUAUAUAUUGAUUAAUGAAUUAGUGUUUUGUUUUAUGGGGGAUGGCUCACUCCAUAAAAGAGAUCUAAUUUAUACAUUACAUACUGGUAGUUUUACAUAUGAUGAAUGUGUAUUAUUAUCUAAUGAAUUGUAUGAUAAAUUUAACAUUAUAUCUAGUGUUAAUAUCGACAGAAUUUCUCCUAGUAAUACUUCUUACAAGGUAGUAUUUAAAAAAGAAUCUACUAAUUUAAUUAAUCAAAUUAUAAGCCCUUAUAUCUAUAAAAAUUUUGAGUAUAAAACUGUAAAUUAAGACAUAGUCUAAACUAUAAUGAAAAUUAUAGAAAUAUAUUCUAAUUGAAUAUAUGUUAAUAUAAUUGGUCGUCUAGACUUAUCCUAUUGGUCGUAGAAGCUAAUAAGGGUACGACUGUUCGUCGUUUAAAAAGUUACUUGAGAUGGGUUAAUUACGACGUGAGUCAGUAAUGAUUUUAUCAUCUAUGACGUUAAUAGUAAUAUGUAAUUAUAUGUGUACGAAAGGAUUAUAUAAUAUAGUUCAAUGGUGAAGAGCAUUUGAUUCUUAGCUAAAACUAUAAAGGAUAAAUAUUGAUAGCUUAUAAAAUAUUAAGCCUUACAUAUUCACUAUAUAAACAUUAAAGAUAAUAAUGUUAUAGUAAUAUAUCUAUGCUUUAUUUAUUAAUAAAAAGGAUAUAAUAAACUAAUAAAUUUAAUCAUUUUUAAUAACAAAUCAUGUCAAAUUAUUUAUAUAUAUCAUAUAUUAUAUAUAUAGUAUAUUUUAUAUUAAUGUCACUUCACACAUAAUGAGUAGUAUGUAUUUAUUUAUAAAUUCCUUAUAAAGUUUGUGAUUAUAAAUUAAUUUUCCUUCUCUUUAUUGUGAACAAUUUUAAGGAAAUAUAUCAUAUAUAUUUAAAA